rnacentral:rRNA from 1 species
CGGACGGGUGAGUAACACGUGAGUAACCUGCCCUUGGCUCUGGGAUAAGCCCGGGAAACUGGGUCUAAUACCGGAUAUGACUGCUGGCCGCAUGGUUGGUGGUGGAAAGUUUUUCGGCUGGGGAUGGACUCNCGGUCUAUCAGCUUGUUGGUGGGGUGAUGGCCUACCAAGGCGACGACGGAUAGCCGGCCUGAGAGGGUGACCGGCCACACUGGGACUGAGACACGGCCCAGACUCCUAC